rnacentral:lncRNA from 1 species
AUGUGGGGGCCUAAUACAAUAGCCUUCAUGAAUGAGUUAAUGUUGUUGUGGUGGUAAUAGAUUAGUAAUCACAGAGUGGGCUUAUUAUAAAACAGAGUUCAGCCCCUUUUGCCCUCUUGCUUUCUUGCACUUUCUUUUCCUUCUGCCUUCUGUAGUGGGAUGAUGCAGCAAGAAGACCCUUACCAGAUGCAGGCCCCUCAACCUUCGACUUCCUAACAUCCAGAACUCUGGACCUACCAUGAAAGACUUCUGAAUCCAGGAAGAGAAACUGACUGGGCAACAUGUUAUUCAGAAACAGGACCUUGCCCUGUCACUCAGGAUGGAGUUCAAUGGUCCUAUCAUGGCUCAUUAUAGCCUUAAACUCCCAGGCUCAAGCAAUCCUACCAUGUCAGCCUUCCCAGUAGCUGGGACUACAGGAAGUGACCUCACAAUGACUCAAGCUACCACAUACUGUUGAUUGUGAAAUGCCAGUUGAAGCAUAUGUCCUGCGAGCUUAGGGGUGCUACAAGUUGACCACUGCAGCAGUAAAGAUGACUCUGAAGAAUGGCAUGGGAUGGAUCCUUUCGAAUGCACUUGAGCAGCGGUCUCCAACCACAGGGCCACAGAGCUGGAGCUGGAUCUACCAUGAAAGACUUCUGAAUCCAGGAAGAGAGACUGACUGGGCAACAUGUUAUUCAGGGUCUCCCUCUGUUGUCCAAGGCUGGAGUGUAGUAGUGCUA